GACGAACGCUGGCGGCGUGCUUAACACAUGCAAGUCGAACGGUGAAGCGCCUUCCUUUUUGGUGGGUGUGGAUGAGUGGCGAACGGGUGAGUAACACGUGAGUAACCUGCCCCCUUCUUCUGGAUAACCGCAUGAAAGUGUGGCUAAUACGGGAUAUUCUGGGUCUGUCGCAUGAUGGGUCUGGGAAAGAUAUUGUUUCGGUGGGGAAUGGGCUCGCGGCCUAUCAGCUUGUUGGGGGGGUGAUGGCCUACCAAGGGGGUGACGGGUAGCCGGCCUGAGAGGGUGGCCGGCCAGACUGGGACUGCGGCACGGCCGAGACUGCUACGGAAGGCAGCAGUGGGGGAUAUUGAACAAUGGGCGCAAGUCUGCUGCAGCGACGCCGCGUGAGGGAUGGAGGCCUUCGGGUUGUGAACCUCUUUCGCCAGUGAAGCAGGCCUGCCUCGUUUGUGGGUGGGUUGACGGUAGCUGGAUAAGAAGCGCCGGCUAACUACGUG
rnacentral:rRNA from 1 species